rnacentral:rRNA from 1 species
GACGAACGCUGGCGGCGUGCUUAACACAUGCAAGUCGAGCGGUAAGGCCCUUUCGGGGGUACACGAGCGGCGAACGGGUAAGUAACACGUGGGUGACCUGCCCUCAGCUCUGGGAUAAGCCUGGGAAACCGGGUCUAAUACUGGAUAUGACUCCAUGACGCAUGUUGUGGGGUGGAAAGCCUUGUGCGGCUGAGGAUGGGCCCGCGGCCUAUCAGCUUGUUGGUGGGGUGANGGCCUACCAAGGCGACGACGGGUAGCCGGCCUGAGAGGGCGACCGGCCACACUGGGACUGAGACACGGCCCAGACUCCUACGGGAGGCAGCAGUGGGGAAUCUUGCGCAAUGGGCGAAAGCCUGACGCAGCGACGCCGCGUGAGGGAUGACGGCCUGG